rnacentral:lncRNA from 1 species
CCAGAGUCCAUCCUGUCUCCCACCGGCAUCCCAUUACGAAAUGAACACAGAAAAGGCAGGUCUGCAAUGCCAACAUCUAGUAUCUAUCCCAAAGACCAGGGAGAAAGGAAGGAAAGAUUCUGGUUCUGUCCUCUUCCCCAAGGCAAGGCUGGCUGCCCUACCAACAGAGGCAAAGAGAAGAGUGUGCAAGGCUGGCUGCCCUCCCAACAGAGGCAAAGAGGAGUGUGUGUUGAAAUAUCCAUUGAAUCCCUGAGACAACUGGAUCCUGGCCCAUUGAAUCAUAAACUCAAUACAUCGUGGGAGACUCAAAGAUUAAAAUGUGGCCACUCACUGUGGAUCAGAAGUGAGUUCAGGUCACGAUCCCAUCCUUCCUACAACAUGAAAAUCC